UUAUAAUUUUUUAAUUUAUUUUUAUUAAGAAUAUUUCAACCUAAAUUUUAAAAAUAAAAAAUUAUUUUUUAAUUAAACUAAUUCGAAUGAUUUUUUU
rnacentral:miRNA from 1 species